rnacentral:antisense_RNA from 1 species
CUUCACCGCGCCCAGCAGCAGCGGUGUGUCGCGGUCCUGGCCGUAGGUCUCCAGCAGCGCCUGUGCCUC